AUACGAAGGGUGCGAGCGUUAAUCGGAAUUACUGGGCGUAAAGCGCGCGUAGGCGGUUGGAUAAGUCGGAUGUGAAAGCCCCGGGCUCAACCUGGGAAUUGCAUUCGAAACUGUCCGGCUAGAGUAUGGUAGAGGGAAGCGGAAUUCCACAUGUAGCGGUGAAAUGCGUAGAUAUGUGGAGGAACACCAGCGGCGAAGGCGGCUUCCUGGACCAAUACUGACGCUGAGGUGCGAAAGCGUGGGGAGCAAACAGGAUUAGAAACCCUAGUAGUCC
rnacentral:rRNA from 1 species